CAAAAAGUCAAAAGUGGAAAAGAACGUGAAAGCGUGCUCCAGCCCGAAUUCCGGUUCCAAAAGGCCCGAUUCGCAGGCAAACACUGCGCGUAAAGCAGGCUGGUCAUUUCCCAUUGUUUAACUGCCCCACUCAAGUAAACCACAAAGACUCACAGAUGUUGCUUCGCAACAUCCGUGAGUCAAAAAGAGGCAUCCAACAUUGGCAGAUUUUAUAACAAAGUCAUCAUUAGUCAUACCAAUUGCCAAAACCUUGAUGUGUAAAGUUGUGUUUCAUUUAGCCAAGGCCCAAGUAUAGUUUGGACCCUAAGUUCUCANNNNNNNNNNNNNNNNNNNNNAAAAAAAAAAUAAAUAAAAAAUUGUAAACUAGUGAUAAUCUGUAAAGUUUGAGAGGGAAAUAAUUACCUGAUAAUCGCCACUGACAAAUCAGCCCCUCCCCCAAUGCAAAAUUGUUUCGUACGGUAGUGGUUCUAUCUCAAAAUCCUUGUUGGAAUUUACUUGUUUUGCAUUAUAUACUUUAUAAUAAUAAUAAUAAUAACAACUUUAUUUAUAACAGACAGCCUACAUCACUACUCAAGUGCUUUUCAGCAGGGCUCUGUAUAUUACAUUCCGU
rnacentral:lncRNA from 1 species